GGUUAAGCGACUAAGCGUACACGGUGGAUGCCCUGGCAGUCAGAGGCGAUGAAGGACGUGCUAAUCUGCGAUAAGCGCCGGUAAGGUGAUAUGAACCGUUAUAACCGGCGAUUUCCGAAUGGGGAAACCCAGUGUGACUCGUCACACUAUCAUUAACUGAAUCCAUAGGUUAAUGAGGCGAACCGGGGGAACUGAAACAUCUAAGUACCCCGAGGAAAAGAAAUCAACCGAGAUUCCCCCAGUAGCGGCGAGCGAACGGGGAGGAGCCCAGAGCCUGAAUCAGCAUGUGUGUUAGUGGAAGCGUCUGGAAAGGCGCGCGAUACAGGGUGACAGCCCCGUACACAAAAGCGCAUGUGCUGUGAGCUCGAUGAGUAGGGCGGGACACGUGGUAUCCUGUCUGAAUAUGGGGGGACCAUCCUCCAAGGCUAAAUACUCCUGACUGACCGAUAGUGAACCAGUACCGUGAGGGAAAGGCGAAAAGAACCCCGGCGAGGGGAGUGAAAAAGAACCUGAAACCGUGUACGUACAAGCAGUGGGAGCACCCUUUUGGGUGUGACUGCGUACCUUUUGUAUAAUGGGUCAGCGACUUAUAUUCUGUAGCAAGGUUAACCGUAUAGGGGAGCCGGAGGGAAACCGAGUCUUAACCGGGCGUUAAGUUGCAGGGUAUAGACCCGAAACCCGGUGAUCUAGCCAUGGGCAGGUUGAAGGUUGGGUAACACUAACUGGAGGACCGAACCGACUAAUGUUGAAAAAUUAGCGGAUGACCUGUGGCUGGGGGUGAAAGGCCAAUCAAACCGGGAGAUAGCUGGUUCUCCCCGAAAGCUAUUUAGGUAGCGCCUCGUGAAUUCAUCUCCGGGGGUAGAGCACUGUUUCGGCUAGGGGGCCAUCCCGGCUUACCAACCCGAUGCAAACUGCGAAUACCGGAGAAUGUUAUCACGGGAGACACACGGCGGGUGCUAACGUCCGUCGUGAAGAGGGAAACAACCCAGACCGCCAGCUAAGGUCCCAAAGUCAUGGUUAAGUGGGAAACGAUGUGGGAAGGCCCAGACAGCCAGGAUGUUGGCUUAGAAGCAGCCAUCAUUUAAAGAAAGCGUAAUAGCUCACUGGUCGAGUCGGCCUGCGCGGAAGAUGUAACGGGGCUAAACCAUGCACCGAAGCUGCGGCAGCGACACUAUGUGUUGUUGGGUAGGGGAGCGUUCUGUAAGCCUGUGAAGGUGGCCUGUGAGGGUUGCUGGAGGUAUCAGAAGUGCGAAUGCUGACAUAAGUAACGAUAAAGCGGGUGAAAAGCCCGCUCGCCGGAAGACCAAGGGUUCCUGUCCAACGUUAAUCGGGGCAGGGUGAGUCGACCCCUAAGGCGAGGCCGAAAGGCGUAGUCGAUGGGAAACGGGUUAAUAUUCCCGUACUUGGUGUUACUGCGAAGGGGGGACGGAGAAGGCUAUGUUGGCCGGGCGACGGUU
rnacentral:rRNA from 1 species